UUGCUGUGCAUCUGGUGUGGAAGCCUUUGUUCAGGAUCUUUGAUUAUGAAAUUGGGGUUUCGGACUUGAUUCCCAAUAUUAUUGUUUCUUUGGGUCUAAUUGUAGUCGUUAUACAAGUAGGUUUUGAACAUAGAGUUUCGCUGUGUCAUUUUAAGGAUUUGGCUUACAAUAAUUUAAGAAAGUUUGUUACUUCCCUAGAUAUUGUUUUAGCUUAUAAAAGGGGCACGAGAGCUGAGUUGAUAGUUUUGUCAUUCUGGUUUCUAAGAAUAUAAUCAAAUUCUUUGGAAUUAUUCUCUAUCUGAACUACCAGUUCUAAAUCUGGUUUCUGUAUUCUGGAUUUCAGGAUAGAGAUGUAUAACAAUAUAGGAUCUCAGCCUGCUAUGCUGCGACCGCCUGCUAAUUCUCAGUCUAAUCCAUUUGGAGACGCAUUCUCUGCAGCAGGUUCUGGGUUUAUCUGAGGUGGUUUGGGUGCCUAUGGGGAGAGAAUUCUAGGGUCCAGUUCUGAGUAUGUACAAAGCAAUGUUAUAUUUUGUUAUUGGGUUACUUCUAAUAUCUUCUCCUUCGCAUAUGGAUCUGGUACCCGAAAAUAAUAAUAAAGGUCCACAGAUCAAGAAUAGGAAGACACUACUUGAAGCUUCAAACUGGAUACCAUCAUUGUUUUGCUAGAUUUUAGUAUUAUUUAGCUUUGUAAGGCUACAACUACAUCUUUAUUGUGUUUUAAUUUUGUGGUAUUUUUAGAAACAUAUUAGUUAUGAAGUA